UCACAUCUUACGACGGCAGUCUCUCCAGAGUCCUCAGCAUGACCUGUUAGUAACUGAAGAUAAGGGUUGCGCUCGUUAUGGCACUUAAGCCGACACCUCACGGCACGAGCUGACGACAACCAUGCAGCACCUUCACAGCGGUGAUUGCUCACUGACAUGUUUCCACAUCAUUCCACUGCAAUUUAAGCCCGGGUAAGGUUCCUCGCGUAUCAUCGAAUUAAACCACAUGUUCCUCCGCUUGUGCGGGCCCCCGUCAAUUCCUUUGAGUUUCACCGUUGCCGGCGUACUCCCCAGGUGGAAUACUUAAUGCUUUCGCUUGGCCGCUUACUGUAUAUCGCAAACAGCGAGUAUUCAUCGUUUACUGUGUGGACUAC
rnacentral:misc_RNA from 1 species